AUGAUAAUUGUAAUUCGUCGGUACGGUGGAAUUUAAAAGAAGAACAAGAAGAAGAAACGCUUGAACAAGAAUUCCUGGUGAAAAGUGCAAUUUGUUUGGUUUGGAUCGAUGAUGCGACACAAAGGCUCUUGGAAUAAUCAAUUUGCGCAUAGGAUGCAAUGUAGUAGUGAUGAUGCAGUGAGAAAAAGUCGUCAUUUUCGUGAAUCAUUUCGGUGUGCAAUACAAAUGUUAACGUGUCAAAUGAGUGCAACCAGAAAAGUGUCACCGUGUCGAAAGUUAUUUUCAUCAGCUAUCGGCUUACUGCGUUGAAGUUUGUGUACAGAAAAAAACCCACAUGCUUUGGUUUGAAAAUUUUGUGAACAUUUGACUAGCCGAAGUUUUUUUCUUUGUCGGCAACCGUGGCCCUGCGAAAAUGGGCUCCAGUCGUCCCAAAUCAAGCCGCAGCUGUCAGCAAUGGAAGCAGUGUAAAAAACGAUGCAUGAUGCGACGCUGCCACCGGAUGAGAAGGAAUAAUCGUGAUUUCAUAUAAAACUGCGUGAUUACGUUUACAACAAACAAAUUGAGGAAUCUCAAUUCAAUGGAAGAACGCUGUAGACAUGCCAUGUGAUUUUCCGAAUUUCAUCUCCUUCCUAUUUACGAGAGCGUCGGUGAGUCGCUGGCAUCUCGAUAAAUAGAUAUCAUCCCUUCCCUACUACCCCUUCCCAACCGUGUUUCUUAUCGUUUCAGAGAGCGGUCAAUGGCGCUUAAGCCUAGGCUUAUUAGCCAGGACGCAGUGUAAAUGCCUGUGCCCCAUCCCGGAAUCAAAAAGGCCCAUGGAGUGACGAAAUUUCUUAGCUAUGUCACUCCCAACUGUGGUGUUUAAAUAUACUAAAACACUUUCACUCACUGCAACACAUCUACAUGAUUUACUCGAAUACACUUACAAAUCUGAAUCUUGUCGCAUCACUCGCUUAUAGUGACUUCCAAAUCAUCCCAUUCCAAAUAUCCAACUCCUUGACACCUAUGGGGGCGUCGGUGAGUCGCUGACCUCACCUAAAGUAGGUGUCAUAUCAUCACAUCCUUUCCUAUCCUCGUAACGGAGAAGAUGGGCGUGGCCGGCAAUGGAAGUUCUCUUGUCUUUUUUACUUCAACCUCUAAUUGGAUAGCUGUUCCUUCCCAAAUAGCAUCCCAUAAGCAAUUUAGAAUAGAAGUAUUAAAGUUUUAACAUGACAACUUUCAGUAUGCAAUCUACGAAUUACUCCGUUACCACGCAACGCAACGCAACGCAACGCAAGUUAAACAAAAAGUGAACAAAUGAGCAUGAGCAUGAGUAUAGCAUGAGCAUAGAUGACCGCACAAUUCGUAGUUGCUACUCCGUGAUUGACCAGAGCAAUCGAAAUUGCACAGGGAUCCAAUGAAUAGGGCUUGGGACUAGCUUACUAUUCUCAAUGUACACAGUUCGAGAGCUCUCAACUUUAAUAGGGUCAAUAACGGCGCCGGCCACGUCCUUACGGUCAUCGAGAAUGGGAGGGAAUAUUAGUAAGACAAACGUUGUUAUAAAGACCGCGAAUCGCUGCAUCUCCACGUUUGUCUCAGGAAGGACUUUUUGUUAGUAGGGUAAGGUACAUUCACUAGGAACAGAACUAGCUGUAAAACAGUUUCUUAAGCUAAAGUUUGCUUAAGAGUGGUUUGUUCCACUGUUGUAGAGCAAAAUUGUUCGUUGGGUUGUCAGUCCGGGAGUCACCUACAGUAUGCGGCAGGAAAAAAUGCGAAAGUGUUUUUCAACUUCAAACCUCAUUUUCGUCCAUUUGACAUUAACCAAUCUAUGUUUCAACGUUCCAUGAUCUAUAAUAGGCUAGUUUUCUGAAAAGUUAAUUCAAAAAUUUCCCAUUUUGGUCACUAACCUUUACAGGGCGGCGCCUGAAGAUGAAGACAACCAGAAUUUUCAAACCGCAGAAAAUCGCACAGGUCGCUAAAUUUCGCAUCUAAUAAAACAAAAUUUUUGAUUUUCUCUACAAUAUCAUCAAAUAUAUGUACUUAUUUCAUCUGGUAUAUGAAACUACAUGGCUCUGGAUCAGUGUGGUCUGGUUGUUCAUCGAAUUUGAGCUAAUUUUGUUACUGUUAUAGUCAUUUUGUUUAAUGACCAUUGGGCGCGCAGUUUAUUGAUAUCCGCUUAUUAGGCCUACAUUAUCACAUGUUAAACAUCAAAUAUGUUCAUUUUUAUUUUUCAGUGCUAGAAUAUAGACAUUGACUGAUACACUGUCAUGAAAAAAUAGUCAUACAUAUCCAAUAUUUAGCGUGUAAUAGUGCCUUGAACUUUUCGCAUUUUUUCCUGCCGCACCCUGUAUGGUUGAUGAUAUGAUUUGACAAUGGAUCAAUAUACACAAACCGCCGUUAACAACCGACCA